rnacentral:rRNA from 1 species
UACGUAGGUGGCAAGCGUUAUCCGGAAUUAUUGGGCGUAAAGAGUGCGCAGGCGGUUUAGAAAGUCUGGGGUGAAAGACUGAAGCUCAACUUCAGUAAGCCUUGGAAACUGUUAGACUAGAGUGCAGGAGAGGGUAAUGGAAUUCCAUGUGUAGCGGUGAAAUGCGUAGAUAUAUGGAGGAACACCAGUGGCGAAGGCGAUUACCUGGCCUGUAACUGACGCUCAUGCACGAAAGCGUGGGGAGCAAAUAGG